UUCCACAGCCAUAUCAGUCUACAGCCCAAGACCAGUUACUCACUGAAGCUAAUCAGGGCUGAGCCUGGUCCAGUACCUGGAUGGGAGACCACAUUGGAAAACAAGGAAAGUGAUGUAU
rnacentral:rRNA from 1 species